rnacentral:misc_RNA from 1 species
GAUGAAGAACGUAGCGAAAUGCGAUAAGUAAUGUGAAUUGCAGAAUUCAGUGAAUCAUCGAAUCUUUGAACGCAUCUUGCGCUCCUUGGUAUUCUGAGGAGCAUGCCUGUUUGAGUGUCAUUAAAUUCUCAACUACCCUGACUUUGAAUUGGUGUGGCUUGGAUUUGGGGGGAAAAUUGUUGUGGGCUUUUUGUAUAGUCUGCUCCCCUGAAAUUGAUUAGCGGUACCUUUGUGGAACUGUCUACAGGUGUGAUAAUUAUCUACAUCUUAGACAUCUGCUGGAAUGCUGCUUUCUAAACCUUACUUGUAUUGACAAUCUUGACCUCAAAUCAGGUAGGACUACCCGCUGAACUUAAGCAUAUCAAUAAGCGGAGGA